rnacentral:rRNA from 1 species
CAGCCGCCGCGGUAAUACGUAGGUGGCAAGCGUUAUCCGGAAUUAUUGGGCGUAAAGCGCGCGUAGGCGGUUUUUUAAGUCUGAUGUGAAAGCCCACGGCUCAACCGUGGAGGGUCAUUGGAAACUGGAAAACUUGAGUGCAGAAGAGGAAAGUGGAAUUCCAUGUGUAGCGGUGAAAUGCGCAGAGAUAUGGAGGAACACCAGUGGCGAAGGCGACUUUCUGGUCUGUAACUGACACUGAUGUGCGAAAGCGUGGGGAUCAAACAGGAUUAGAGACCCCCGUAGUCCCUGUCUCUUAUAC